UACGUAGGGUGCAAGCGUUAAUCGGAAUUACUGGGCGUAAAGCGUGCGCAGGCGGUUAUGUAAGACAGGUGUGAAAUCCCCGGGCUUAACCUGGGAACUGCAUUUGUGACUGCAUGGCUAGAGUACGGCAGAGGGGGAUGGAAUUCCGCGUGUAGCAGUGAAAUGCGUAGAUAUGCGGAGGAACACCGAUGGCGAAGGCAAUCCCCUGGGCCUGUACUGACGCUCAUGCACGAAAGCGUGGGGAGCAAACAGG
rnacentral:rRNA from 1 species